AUGUUGAACUUGCGAAACCUGGGGGUAGGGGGGGAAAGAAGCCAUGGGGGGGGGAGGCCGCCGAGACCCCCGGGGAAGCUGGGACCCCUGGGUGGGCACCGGCCCUGCCCACCACAGCUGGUGCUCGGCUCUCACCCUCGCGUCUUCGGAGGGUCCCUGCAAGAGACAAUGCGGAAGUCAGCGGGGUUGGGACCCCAGGCCCACCCAGUGGGGCAGGGGGCACUGGGGACUCCCCCCCGGCCACACGGGAGCCCCCCCAGCUUGGCGGGCUGCCCACCUAUCGAUGUGGAUCGUGGCCUCCAUGCGGUGGUUGCGGUCGUGCAGGCGGACCAGCAGGCGGGCGCGGGUGCAGAACUUGCUGGCCGUGCGCAGCACCAGCGGCCGCUUGGGCUGUGUUGGGCAUGCUGGGCUGCUGCUCCACCACGAAGGCACUGGGGGGGCACGGGCAGGAGGCGGUCAGAGCAGCCCCCCCGGCCCCGGUUCCAUCCCCCCCCCCUCCCCUCCCCUCCCCACUAUCCCCACCUCUGCAGCAGGCAGGUGAGCUGCUCCCGCAGCCGCGUCUCCAGGAGGGGGGUCUCAGGCCUGCAGCGGGUCCCGCUCGUAGGUCACCUUCUUCUGCAGCUCCCCCAGCGCCCGCAGCAGCUGCAGCAGCUGGAAGAGCCCCUCGCCCAGCGCCGUGAACCUGAGGGUGCCCCCCGGGUGUCAGCGGGGUCCGGCCGCCCCCCCUUUACCCCCCACCCCCCCAAGCCCGUCGGUACCAGGCCUCCAGCUGCUGCAGGCGGGUGUCCACGGGGGCCCCCAGGCAGCUGCGCUGCUGCCGCUCCUGCCAGGCCUUCAGCUCCUGCUGCAGGAAGUCCCGCAGGGUCUCGCUGCGCCCCAGGAGCUGCUGCAUCUGCGCCACCACCUCCUGCGGGGACACGGGGACACGCAGUCCUGAGCUGGGGGGGGCACGGAGCGGCUGCAGACCCCCCCACCCCAAGCCCUGGGUCCAGCCCCAGCCCCCUCUCACCCGCCGCUGCCGGUCCAGGUUCUGCAGCUUGGCCUGGAGGGAUUGGACCUGCCGCUUGUACUCGGCUUCAUUCGUCUGGUCCUGGCCUGCGGGCAGUGGGGUGGGAGGGUUGGGGGGGUGCCAACAACAUCCCCCCCCCCCAGGGUGGGCAGGAUCGGGCCCUACCUGGCAGGUAG
rnacentral:lncRNA from 1 species